AACGAACGCUGGCGGCAUGCCUAACACAUGCAAGUCGAACGAGACCUUCGGGUCUAGUGGCGCACGGGUGCGUAACGCGUGGGAACCUGCCCUUAGGUUCGGAAUAACUCCCCGAAAGGGGUGCUAAUACCGGAUAAUGUCUUCGGACCAAAGAUUUAUCGCCUUUGGAUGGGCCCGCGUUGGAUUAGCUAGUUGGUAGGGUAAAAGCCUACCAAGGCGACGAUCCAUAGCUGGUCUGAGAGGAUGAUCAGCCACACUGGGACUGAGACACGGCCCAGACUCCUACGGGAGGCAGCAGUGGGGAAUAUUGGACAAUGGGCGAAAGCCUGAUCCAGCAAUGCCGCGUGAGAGAUGAAGGCCUUAGGGUUGUAAAGCUCUUUUACCCGGGAUGAUAAUGACAGUACCGGGAGAAUAAGCGCCGGCUAACUCCGUG
rnacentral:rRNA from 1 species